UACGGAGGGUGCGAGCGUUGUCCGGAAUCACUGGGCGUAAAGGGCGCGUAGGUGGCGCGAGGAGUCUGUGGUGAAAGCCCGAGGCUCAACUUCGGGUCGGCCGCGGAUACUCUCGUGCUGGAGGGUGGUAGAGGCCAACGGAAUUCCGGGUGUAGCGGUGGAAUGCGUAGAGAUCCGGAAGAACACCGGUGGCGAAGGCGGUUGGCUGGGCCACACCUGACACUGAGGCGCGACAGCGUGGGGAGCAAACAGG
rnacentral:rRNA from 1 species